GUUUUAUGAUUCCAUUCUCCAAAACGUUCAGACUUUUCAAAAAGUCUUGCAAAAUCUUCUAGUGGUUGUAAUUUCUUGAAGAAAGUGUGUUUAGGAUCCAUUGACAGCCACCAACCUUGGACGAAUAAGGAGGAAUCAAUUCACACGAUAGAGCCGAUUUGUCAGGUUUAUGGUUUCCUCGCAUCGAUUCCAAUGUUACCGGUUUGUCCUCGUUUAUUCCAUGGCGAUGCAACCAGGAUCUGAGUACUCGUCAGAAGUGCACAUUAUCACGUUUGAGGGCUUUAUUCAACGCACGCUUUAGAUAUAAUUGAAUAUCUGACGCAAAUUGGAUAUUAAUUUACAUUUCAUCGGCCAGAAAAAAAAAGAAGAUGAGAGCACUCCUGAUCGUCACUUCCUGAUCUCAUCUGUCACGAGCUACCACCAAGAAAAAACCAAUCCAUGGCUCCAAAGUGAAUCAAAAAUGA